UACGUAGGGGGCUAGCGUUGUCCGGAUUUAUUGGACGUAAAGCGCUCGCAGGUGGUUCGUUGCGUCGUGCGUGAAAGACCCCGGCUCAACUGGGGAGGGUCGUGCGAUACGGGCGAACUGGAGGCCAGUAGGGGGAUGCGGAAUUCCGGGUGUAGUGGUGGAAUGCGUAGAGAUCCGGAGGAACACCAGCGGCGAAGGCGGCAUCCUGGACUGGUCCUGACACUCAGAAGCGAAAGCGUGGGGAGCGAUCCGG
rnacentral:rRNA from 1 species